rnacentral:rRNA from 1 species
UACGGAGGGGGCAAGCGUUGUUCGGAAUUACUGGGCGUAAAGGGCGCGCAGGCGGCUGCUCAAGUCAGGCGUGAAAGGCCUGGGCUCAACCCGGGAAUUGCGCUUGAGACUGAGCUGGCUUGAGUGCGGGAGAGGAUGGUGGAAUUCCCAGUGUAGAGGUGAAAUUCGUAGAUAUUGGGAAGAACACCGGUGGCGAAGGCGGCCAUCUGGACCGCAACUGACGCUGAGGAGCGAAAGCAUGGGGAGCGAACAGG